rnacentral:tRNA from 1 species
GGCGGGGUGGCAGAGUGUUAUGCGACGGUGUGCAAAACCGUACAGGCGCGGUUCGAAUCCCCGCCCCCGCCUCCA